UGGGGAAUAUUGCACAAUGGGCGAAAGCCUGAUGCAGCGACGCCGCGUGAGGGAUGGAGGCCUUCGGGUUGUAAACCUCUUUCGCUCAUGGUCAAGCCGCAGCUUUGGGUUGUGGUGAGGGUAGUGGGUAAAGAAGCGCCGGCUAACUACGUGCCAGCAGCCGCGGUAAUACGUAGGGCGCGAGCGUUGUCCGGAAUUAUUGGGCGUAAAGGGCUUGUAGGCGGUUGGUCGCGUCUGCCGUGAAAUCCUCUGGCUUAACUGGGGGCGUGCGGUGGGUACGGGCUGACUUGAGUGCGGUAGGGGAGACUGGAACUCCUGGUGUAGCGGUGGAAUGCGCAGAUAUCAGGAAGAACACCGGUGGCGAAGGCGGGUCUCUGGGCCGUUACUGACGCUGAGGAGCGAAAGCGUGGGGAGCGAACAGGAUUAGAUACCCUGGUAGUCCACGCUGUAAACGUUGGGCACUAGGUGUGGGGGCCACCCGUGGUUUCUGCGCCGUAGCUAACGCUUUAAGUGCCCCGCCUGGGGGAGUACGGCCGCAAAGGC
rnacentral:rRNA from 1 species